UGAUCUGAGGAUGCGACGCUUUAUCGCCCGCGUCAUUUCGGCUCGAAAAGGCCUCCUUUGCGCAUUGGCUGCUAGCUCCUGCUCGGGGAGCGGUCGACGUUCUUGAUGGGGGGCGGCAGGUGGCGGCCAGUGCCUGACCCCUGUGAUGCUCAGCCCCCUGCCCUCCCCCCAAAGGCAUCUACUCAUCUAGCUCUAAUGGCCCGGGUUAAUUAAGGAACUUCCAAGGGACUAGCGAGGCAGGGUAAUGCAGCUGCUCCCCAUUUAUCUGGGCUUGGGACCGGCACAAAGAAACACACUGGUUUGUGCAUCCCCUGUGGCUGGGUUACCAUAUUGAACAGAAGAUGACAUCUGUGAAAUACCAAUGGGUUGCCAAUUUUGAAAAGACCUUUCCUAUGCAAUAACACGGUGUGGCCAGGUGCAGGAAUGACAA